AACGAACGCUGGCGGCAUGCCUAACACAUGCAAGUCGAACGGGAUCCUAGCUUGCUAGGUGAGAGUGGCGGACGGGUGAGUAACACGUGGGAAUCUGCCUUUUGGUUCGGGAUAACCGCGGGAAACUGCGGCUAAUACCGAAUGCCCUCGAGAGAGGAAAGAUUUAUCGCCAGAAGAGGAGCCCGCGUCCGAUUAGGUAGUUGGUGGGGUAAAGGCCUACCAAGCCGACGAUCGGUAGCUGGUCUGAGAGGAUGAUCAGCCACACUGGGACUGAGAUACGGCCCAGACUCCUACGGGAGGCAGCAGUGGGGAAUAUUGGACAAUGGGGGCAACCCUGAUCCAGCAAUGCCGCGUGAGUGAUGAAGGCCUUAGGGUUGUUAAAGCUCUUUUGCCAGGGAAGAUGAUGACUGUACCUGGAGAAUAAGCCCCGGCUAACUUCGUGCCAGCAGCCGCGGUAAU
rnacentral:rRNA from 1 species